CUUGACACUGUGUCCCUCCAGGACAUGAUUACUGUCCCAAGAAAAGCAAAUUUAACCAGUUAUUCUCAAAUUCGAGAUGACUCUGAAUCACUAGACACAUCAAAGAGAUUAAGCAAUGUUCCAAUUGGAAAAUUCCAUUCCCAAUCAGGAGAUCCAUAAAACCGUGAAGAGAUCUCCUAAUCAGGUGUACAUCAGAAUUUAUUCCUCCUCUUCUGAAGCCAUUUCGUUGUUGAAUUGGAUUGUGCUAGAAGGUGAUAGUUCAUCUUUCGCUAUCAAACAGAGGCAAGUCUUUUGAUUCCCAUCACUUUGAUUAGAGCCCCAGUCCCAGGUGCUGAUGACAAUGCAGCCACCACCAUGUUUCACUGUUGGUGCAGCCACCACCAUGCUUCACUGUUGGUGCAGCC